rnacentral:SRP_RNA from 1 species
UCUAUGACGCAACAAUAAUGAUUGAACCAGGUCAGAGUUGGAAGACAGCAGCCUUAAGGUCCUCUUAUUGUGUGCGUCUUUUAUUU